CUGACAGUGCCCGAUCUCAAAGUCCAUGCCUACACGUCAGUCUCCCCACCCAUAAGAAGGACAUAAUGGAUCUGCUUGCAAAUCUGUACAUCGUGGGCCUGAGUGGAUCAAGAGAACACUAAGCUCAGGAAUUCAGGGAGCUGGGUGGGAAGGCUCACCUUUCGAGUGCGGAGGGUGACGGACGCCCCCCGUUCAAGCAGCAGCUCAGCCACCUCGAAGUGGCCACAGUUGAGGGCAUCGUGGAGGGGGGUGAUGCCUUCGCAGCCCUGGCCACCUGGGUCGUCCACUGCGGCCCCGUGGUCCAGCAGGAAGCGGACAAUUUCUGCAGACCAGGAGACGUAAGCCCAGCUCCCGAUGCCCCGCCAGGACUGACUCUUCGCCCCACGUGUCCACCAAGGUUCAAGCGAUUCUCCUGCCUCAGCCUCCCGAGUAGCUGGGACUACAGGGUCUCACUGUGUUGCCCAGGCUGGAGUGCAGUGGCAUGAUCGCGACUCCUGCAGCCUCAAUCUCCCUCCCAGGAUGAAGUGAUCCUCCUGCCUCUAGGACCACAGGUGGCCCUGAAGCUCCUCGUCCUCCUCCAGCUGCGGGGUCAGGCCAUCGGUGUCGUCCUCUGGAACAGAGCCAAGCCCACCCCAGGGGAGUCCGUGGGAGGUGAAGGAGGCCAAGGCCGCCCCAGGCUCCCUGCGGGUCACCACCUUCUCUGUCCAGUUCCGGGAAAGCACUGGCCGUCCUGCCUGCCUGUGGCUGUUCCUGCUACAGCCCUAAGCAGGCUCCACAGCAGCACAGCACACCCCUCUCCAGCCCGGCCCAGAGCAGGCCCAGGGAAAUGCAAGGUGCCGCUGGCCCUCACCGCCCUCUGAGAGCUCCACCUCGCCGGCCUCCAGGGCUUCGCUCUCCGCUGUGGCUGCCGCCUCCUCCGCCUCCUCCUCCUCAUCUUCAUCUUCAGCUACACUGAGCUCCCGUAGUCUGGUUUCGGUCUCAGGGGCCUCCUGGGGCUGCAGCCUCAGCUGCACGGUAUGGAGAUGCUGCAAGACCUGCCUCUGAGGAGCAGAGGGAUGCUCAGCUCAGGACUGGGGGCUGUGGACGCAGAGAAAGAUGGGGAUGGGGCACAAGGGGCAGGCAGGCUGCAACGAAGCUGGGCUCACCGGGGAGCCAGUAUGGGUGGGAUGGGCUCUCGCACCUGCAGCUGGGGACGCUGGGCCUGCUGGGCACAGCUGAGCGCUUUCUGGAAGCACGGGGCCAGCAGCUCGUAGGCAUCGCCGGCCUCCUCGCGGGACAGUGCAAUGUUCAGCCAGGUCUUGGCCUCCUGGAGCAGGAGGAAGGACAGGGUCGGGGGCUGCCGCUGUCUGCGUCCAACGGGCCCCAGUCAAGCUUCCCCGGCUGCCCAGACGAAAUGGGAGCCCGGCCUCCCAGCUGCCGAGGGUGGAUGGUCCUAGGAAGGAGCUGCCCGUCCAGUAAGGACACCUGUCCAUGGCCACCCUGAGAACGGCAGUCCUGAGGCAGAGACAUGGGUGAACCUGCAUUCGGGCGGGGAGCAAGGGUUUCACCUCCAGCACGUUGCCGCUGCGCAGCCUCAGUUCCUCCUCAUAGUGGCGCACGGCCCCAUGGUGGUCCUUCAUGUCUCCCAGUGUGGUGGCCAGGGA
rnacentral:lncRNA from 1 species